rnacentral:rRNA from 1 species
AUUGAACGCUGGCGGCAGGCCUAACACAUGCAAGUCGAGCGGAUGAAGGGAGCUUGCUCCUGGAUUCAGCGGCGGACGGGUGAGUAAUGCCUAGGAAUCUGCCUGGUAGUGGGGGAUAACGUCCGGAAACGGGCGCUAAUACCGCAUACGUCCUGAGGGAGAAAGUGGGGGAUCUUCGAACCUCACGCUAUCAGAUGAGCCUAGGUCGGAUUAGCUAGUUGGUGGGGUAAAGGCCUACCAAGGCGAGAUCCGUAACUGGUCUGAGAGGAUGAUCAGUCACACUGGAACUGAGACACGGUCCAGACUCCUACGGGAGGCAGCAGUGGGGAAUAUUGGACAAUGGGCGAAAGCCUGAUCCAGCCAUGCCGCGUGUGUGAAGAAGGUCUUCGGAUUGUAAAGCACUUUAAGUUGGGAGGAAGGGCAGUAAGUUAAUACCUUGCUGUUUUGACGUUACCAACAGAAUAAGCACCGGCUAACUUCGUG